AAAUUGAAGAGUUUGAUCAUGGCUCAGAUUGAACGCUGGCGGCAGGCCUAACACAUGCAAGUCGAACGGUAACAGGAAUCAGCUUGCUGAUUUGCUGACGAGUGGCGGACGGGUGAGUAAUGUCUGGGAAACUGCCUGAUGGAGGGGGAUAACUACUGGAAACGGUAGCUAAUACCGCAUAACGUCGCAAGACCAAAGAGGGGGACCUUCGGGCCUCUUGCCAUCGGAUGUGC
rnacentral:rRNA from 1 species